GACGAACGCUGGCGGCGUGCUUAACACAUGCAAGUCGAACGGUGAAGCGCCUUCCUUUUUGGUGGGUGUGGAUGAGUGGCGAACGGGUGAGUAACACGUGAGUAACCUGCCCCCUUCUUCUGGAUAACCGCAUGAAAGUGUGGCUAAUACGGGAUAUUCUGGGUCUGUCGCAUGUUGGGUCUGGGAAAGAUAUUGUUUCGGUGGGGGAUGGGCUCGCGGCCUAUCAGCUUGUUGGUGGGGUGAUGGCCUACCAAGGCGGUGACGGGUAGCCGGCCUGAGAGGGUGGACGGUCACACUGGGACUGAGACACGGCCCAGACUCCUACGGGAGGCAGCAGUGGGGAAUAUUGCACAAUGGGCGCAAGCCUGAUGCAGCGACGCCGCGUGAGGGAUGGAGGCCUUCGGGUUGUGAACCUCUUUCGCCAGUGAAGCAGGCCUGCCUCGUUUGUGGGUGGGUUGACGGUAGCUGGAUAAGAAGCGCCGGCUAACUACGUG
rnacentral:rRNA from 1 species